UACGGAGGGUGCAAGCGUUAAUCGGAAUUACUGGGCGUAAAGCGUGCGUAGGUGGUUUCUUAAGUCAGAUGUGAAAGCCCCGGGCUUAACCUGGGAAUGGCAUUUGAUACUGGGUGACUAGAGUUUGGGAGAGGUAAGUGGAAUUUCAGGUGUAGCGGUGAAAUGCGUAGAUAUCUGAAGGAACACCAGUGGCGAAGGCGACUUACUGGCCUAAAACUGACGCUGAGGUACGAAAGCAUGGGUAGCAAACAGG
rnacentral:rRNA from 1 species